UACGUAGGGUGCAAGCGUUGUCCGGAAUUAUUGGGCGUAAAGAGCUCGUAGGCGGUCUGUCACGUCGGACGUGAAAAUCCAGGGCUCAACCCUGGACCUGCGUUCGAUACGGGCAGACUAGAGUUCGGUAGGGGAGACUGGAAUUCCUGGUGUAGCGGUGAAAUGCGUAGAUAUCUGGAGGAACACCGGUGGCGAAGGCGGCAUCCUGGACCAAUUCUGACGCUGAGGAGCGAAAGCCAGGGGAGCAAACGGG
rnacentral:rRNA from 1 species